GAGAAUGAUGCUGGUUACAAUGAUCCUACUGGACCCCACUACAUCACGGAGAUCUCUGUCGCUGUCGCGCAGAGUCUGUUGGCCGUUACAUAUACGGUCACUUACAGCAGCGAAAACUGCUCUACAGCCAAUGCCACUAUGUCUUUAAAAGUUCUCAACUUGAAUCCAUUUCAAGCGGACAACACUCGGUACGAGUUCACGAUUUUAAAAGUUCGAUGCACCGUACUACUCUUUUCUGCCCCAGUAGAAGCAGUCAUACAAAUGUAUGGUCCAGAAGUCAACGGGUUUGUCAAUGUACCAGCACUUGUAAUCCGAGGAAUGCAAAUUAUACCAGAUGCAUCAACCCCGAACACAUCGCAA